rnacentral:lncRNA from 1 species
GUCUCACCCUGCGGGAUGCAGAGCCCUUUGCAGCAUGGAACAAGCAAGCGCAGAGCAGGAGAGCCCGUAGGUUAGGCGGCUGCCUUUGCUACUCAGUGAGGAGCAGCGGUCUUCUUAGGAGACGGGAUAUUUUCAGCCAUCCUCUCAUAACCACUGGUGUGUAUCACGGCGAAGAACCGAAUCAAAGACGAACCAAAAGCCGGGGCACGGGCUCGCUUGGCCGCCUAGGUUGCCCGAUCCAAGUGUCAAACCUCUUCCCCUCAAGGGAGCGGGAUUGUCCCCUAUACACCUCCGCUCUGAAAUCUACACGAUCCUCGGUGGGGGCCUUCCGUUUCAAGCUGCCAGGAGAAAGGAAAGAUGAAGG